GUGCUCUUUUCAGAAAUAUAUAUACCAAAAUUAGAACAGUUGUGAGAAGACUCACAUGGCCCCUGUGCAAGGAUCACUUAAAAAUUUGCAAACCAUUCCUUCCAUAGUUUU
rnacentral:snRNA from 1 species